CUACUAUGGCUCUUUCCUCCUCUACUUUCGCCGGUAAGGCGGUGAAACUCUCACCAUCUUCUUCUGAAAUCAGUGGAAAUGGGAGAAUUACAAUGAGGAAGACUGCUGCCAAGCCCAAGCCUGCCUCCUCUGGUAGCCCAUGGUACGGUCCUGACCGUGUUAAGUACUUGGGCCCAUUCUCUGGUGAAUCACCAAGCUAUUUGACUGGUGAGUUCCCUGGUGAUUACGGAUGGGACACUGCUGGGCUUUCAGCUGACCCUGAAACAUUCGCUAAGAACCGUGAGUUGGAGGUUAUUCAUUGCAGAUGGGCCAUGCUUGGUGCUCUUGGAUGUGUUUUCCCCGAGCUUUUGGCACGUAACGGUGUUAAGUUUGGUGAAGCUGUAUGGUUCAAAGCUGGAUCUCAAAUUUUCAGCGAGGGCGGACUUGACUACUUGGGAAACCCUAGUUUGGUUCAUGCACAAAGCAUUUUGGCUAUUUGGGCUUGCCAAGUUGUGUUGAUGGGAGCCGUUGAGGGUUACCGUAUUGCUGGUGGGCCUCUUGGUGAGGUUGUUGAUCCACUUUACCCUGGUGGUAGCUUUGACCCAUUGGGCCUUGCUGAAGACCCAGAGGCUUUUGCUGAGCUCAAAGUGAAGGAGAUCAAGAACGGCAGACUUGCUAUGUUCUCCAUGUUUGGAUUCUUUGUUCAAGCUAUUGUCACUGGAAAGGGUCCAUUGGAGAAUCUUGCCGACCACAUUGCUGACCCAGUUAACAACAACGCCUGGGCCUUUGCCACAAACUUUGUUCCCGGAAAGUGAAGUUUUUGAGAGAAAAAAAUGUUACGUCUAGUAUCUUAUUGUUUGAUGACAAUCAUGUAAACCUAGCAAUUGUAAAUUACUAGAGAUUAUAUAUGAAGUUUUUUGCUAAAACCUAGUGUUUGUUGAUUAAAUCUAAAUCAUUAAUAUUAAUAUAUAGUAACAAGUGGAAAAAUGGGAAAAGAGAAAAUGAAAGAUUAAUUUCUUUAUGUCAUUUAUAAUGACUUAACAGUUAAAUAAUGUAUCCAUUCUUACUUGGUAGUGAUAAAUUUCGCAAUUAUAUAUGGUUAUAGUAAUCUAUAAUGAAUCCACCUUCUACGCCAAACUCAAUUCAAUAAAAUUUCUCCAUUCGAUAGGUGUUAGAAAAUGGUAAAUGUCGUCUUCCUUUCUUCUUCACAAUACGUAAUUCUAGCGGACGAUUUACCUAGUAAUCAACAUUUUAGAAACUUAUUUAUUCUAUUAGCUAUUGAUUAUGGGUCUUAUUAAUGUAAUAUAAUAUAAGAAAAUAACUGUCUACACUACACGCCCAAAGUGGACCUAAACGAUGAACUAUUCUCUUUGGCAAUAAUCAAUCAAAGUCAAAAUAAACAUACAAUGUGAUUUGAACCGCACACUCACUUCACGUCUUCUGAGUACGACAAUGACUUUAUCUUUCUGAUUCAUAUCGAGUUGCCCAAAAGUUGUUCUGUUUUAAGGUUGUUUGAGAAUAUUUACAAGUUCUUUCGAAUUAACAAAACUCGCAUAUGUUAUUCGACUGUACACAAUUUUUUUUGAACCGAUAACAUUUUGUACUAUUUUCAUUCUACCUAUCUUCAUUAACUCAAAAACAAUUCGUAUUUCACUUCAAAUGUAUAAAAAAAAGAAGAGAUUAUUGUAAAUUGUCUAUUUACAACUCACACAAGUGGUCCUAUUUCAUAUGCCAGCCAAAUAAACAGUUGUUUGUGAACAAUGCAUGGCCAUGAGCAACUCUUAUGCUAUGGUCAAGUGGAUAUUAUAUUGCAAUAAUCUAUAAUCACACGUGGCAAACAAGGAUUGGCUGCAUAAGAGGAAAUCAACAUUUGAGUUAGAUUUUUUAAAAAAUUGUCAUUCACCAAUGAAAAAGCAGAUAAUGAUAUUCUAAGAUAAGGAUUUUGGGCCUGUUGAGUAAUUUAUAUACAGUUAGUGCAAAGCUCAUGAAACUCAAGCUUCAAAACAACUUUUCUUUUUGUACAUUCAAGAGUUUCUCAUUCUACUUCUAUAAUGGCUACUUCUACCAUGGCUCUUUCUUCCUCUACAUUUGCCGGAAAGGCGGUUAAACUCUCCCCAUCUUCUUCUGAAAUCACCGGAAAUGGGAGAGUCACCAUGAGGAAAACUGCUACCAAGGCCAAGCCAGCCUCCUCUGGUAGCCCAUGGUAUGGUCCUGACCGUGUUAAGUACUUGGGACCAUUCUCUGGGGAAUCCCCAAGCUACUUGACCGGUGAGUUUCCUGGUGAUUACGGAUGGGACACUGCUGG
rnacentral:lncRNA from 1 species